UGCAUCAACCCAGUAUUGAGCUAGGAUGGAUCUUGCCUGGCAACAACCAAUCCAUGUGUACUAACACCAUAUUAAGCAUUCAAACCUUAAACUAACCCAACCCGUGUAACUAAGGACAUCCUGAAUGAAAUGAAAGGAGGUGAACAGCCAGAAGCACUCCAGAGAAGGUGGACUUCUGUCACUGCUCUCCUUGCAAGAAAUCCCACUCAGGGUCUCGACUAUUUUGUUAUAUAUCUCGUGUUUUCAGAAAUAACCUUAACACUGAAUGUUAAAAAAAUUAUACAUUGGGUGAAGACUUACAUGUGUUAGUAGAUCAGGUUUUUGAAAUACUUAUCGGUCAAAACUCUAGAACAAAGGAUGGAUGCAAGAAAAAGUCUUUCUUCUAUGAUUUCGAAAAAAAUUAAAGAGAGCCCUCUGGCAUCAAAUAUUAUCUUGGGAUUGUUUCUUCUUGUCUCUGAGAAGAUGCUGGACUCAGAAUUUCUGUGCCCUUGCCUUGAGGGAAAAUGGAAUUGUUUGUUUGUUUCUAUUUACUUUUUGUGUCCAGGAUUUACAGUCUCUGUUUUAAUGUAUUUUGUGCAUAGACAUGGCAGUUCCAUUUCCUUUCGUUUCAUCUUACGCACUUCAGUUCCUCUUCUCACAUGGGUCAUCAUACUGUUGCUUGAUGGCCGAUAUGUAGCUUGUGGCGCGACACACUGGCCUGGGAUUUAUGAAGCUACAGAUGGUAGUGGACUGCUGAGAUGGUGCAAACCAGACAACAACUCAUCUGAGAGGCUAAGCUACAUUCAAGAAGCGUACACAAUCUCUCAGAGCAUUGGACUUUUGCUCUGCAUUCCCUUUGGUCUGAGUGUGUCCUGUUGUUUGAUAAUCCCAUCAUUUAAAACAAAUCAGGAAGGGACAAAUUUGGAAUCAUGCAACCUGAAGAUGGAAUCUGCAUCAGCAGAUCAAAUCCCUUCUUAAGAGAAAACUGUUACAAAAAUGACACAUUUGUGAAUUGUUCCUCCACUUAUUCUGUAGAUUGUUAUCACGUGGUCAAAGUGAGUGACAAAAAGGUAUUGAGCCUUUUAAAACAUCAAUAAUAUGAGUUGGAGAAGGGUUACAUUUAUUGGUUAAAAAAUGCUUUUUUUAUUCCACAAUUAAUGUUUUGUAUGUAAAAUCCUUUUAAUGUCAAUAUGCUGGAUGUGAUUCAUGUUUACCUCUAACUUGUUGAUGAUGUUCAAUAAAUAAGAUCAUAACCACAUAUUUUUUUCAAUAAUUCAAUGUAAUACAAACUACUUUCUUUCAGAUGUACUUUUUUUAAAGUUUCAAUUUUUAAAGUUGAAACUUGUUCUGUUUUAUCACUUUUAUUGUUUUUGUAUUUCAUUGCUUUUACAGUACUUUUAUGGUGAUUUUAUUCUAUAUGACUGUUUUUCAUAUUUUACUGUCUUUUAUGUAUGUUUUUUGUGCUUAUAUUUGUAAAUAAAUAUCUUACCUCGUUAGAUCAUUAUGUUGGUUACGGUUCUCAUUCUUACUGGCUGUGAAGUCUUGAGGCUGAUUAACUGCAACUGGACGUGAAAAUCUUCUUCCUUUAAAAUGUUUUGAUCCUCAUCUAAAUGGCACAAAGUCAUCAUUCAGACUAUGACUCAACCUCAAGAAAAAGAUCAAUAGAGACUUCUAAUAUCACAGUCUCAGCAACCACAAUGCAGAGGUUCCAUGUGCCUUCAAAUUGUGUAUCAGCCUUUAUCAAGCUUUAGGCUACAGAUAACUCUCCGAAUGAGUAUGAUGC
ensembl:lncRNA